rnacentral:rRNA from 1 species
AGUGAACGCUGGCGGUAGGCCUAACACAUGCAAGUCGAACGGCAGCACAGAGGAGCUUGCUCCUUGGGUGGCGAGUGGCGGACGGGUGAGGAAUACAUCGGAAUCUACUCUGUCGUGGGGGAUAACGUAGGGAAACUUACGCUAAUACCGCAUACGACCUACGGGUGAAAACAGGGGAUCUUCGGACCUUGCGCGAUUGAAUGAGCCGAUGUCGGAUUAGCUAGUUGGCGGGGUAAAGGCCCACCAAGGCGACGAUCCGUAGCUGGUCUGAGAGGAUGAUCAGCCACACUGGAACUGAGACACGGUCCAGACUCCUACGGGAGGCAGCAGUGGGGAAUAUUGGACAAUGGGCGCAAGCCUGAUCCAGCCAUACCGCGUGGGCGAAGAAGGCCUUCGGGUUGUAAAGCCCUUUUGUUGGGAAAGAAAUCCAUCUGGUUAAUACCCGGGCGGGAUGACGGUACCCAAAGAAUAAGCACCGGCUAACUUCGUGCCAGCAGCCGCCGUAA